AGGAGGGGAGGGAAUGAUGCGUAGGAGCGAGGUAUUAUAGAAUAUCAAAGACACCGUUUACAAUUUCAUAUAGAGAGACAAAGAAUUGAUCUUUCAAAAAUAUAAGAAAUUGCUCCUUUUUAAUCAAAUAGAUCCACUAGUAACUUAAGAUAUACAAACUGAAAAUUUAAUACAGAAAAAAAAAACUUAUCAGCAUUCGAGACCAAGACUUGUUUCACGGUUUGUAAAGAAAAGGUGACCAAUGAACCAUAAUCAAACCACUUAAAGAAUUUUCUCGACAAAUUAAUUAACAACUGGCUGAACGAAGAGCAAUUAUCACGCAGGCAUAUGGCUAUAAGGAACUCCAGGAAGUCACACCAUCUCAUUGUUGUGAGAAGAUGACAUAGUGUGGGAUCUGAUAUUGGCGUGUGGUUAUCAGCUUCAAGUUUAUUACCAUAUCACAUUAUCACUAUGAUGUUAAUAUAGUAUAUACCAGAACAGCAGAGUCCCGAACUUAGC
rnacentral:lncRNA from 1 species